GACGUAGGGCGCAAGCGUUGUCCGGAUUUAUUGGGCGUAAAGAGCUCGUAGGCGGCUUGUUGCGUCGUCCGAUGAAACCCGUGGCUCAACUGCGGGCUUGCGGACGAUACGGGCAGGCUGGAGUUCGGUAGGGGAGACUGGAAUUCCUGGUGUAGCGGUGAAAUGCGCAGAUAUCAGGAGGAACACCGGUGGCGAAGGCGGGUCUCUGGGCCGAUACUGACGCUGAGGAGCGAAAGCGUGGGGAGCAAACAGG
rnacentral:rRNA from 1 species